CUGUACAUUUUUCACUUUUUAAAAUACAGUAUUCAGUGAACAAUGGUUGCAAACAGCAGGCUCAUUGGUACUACAUGCAACUUGCUGUUUGUAUGGGUUGUCCUGGGAACCCUGGAGAUUGGC
ensembl:snoRNA SNORA70 Small nucleolar RNA SNORA70